GAAGGGGGAGCCGGAGGUUUCCUGUCUGGGCUGAGAGUGAAAAGGCUGAAGCGGGAACGAGGAAGGAGCAGCCACAAAAGGCUCCAGAGGGCUAGGGCCUCUGCCAAACUGGCUGUGCACAGCCUGGCGGAGUCUGGGCCAGGGUGCCCGCCCCGCCCCCGCCCUGUGGCCAAGGCCAUUCAUUCUCCCUUCCCUCCCAGGAGCAGCUAGGCGGCCAGGCCAUGGGACGCAGCUUCCCUGCAAACCAGGGUCCUGCCACCCAAGGCGUGAGCUCUGGGAACGUGUCCCGCCUCCCGGCCACAGCGGGCGAGCCUGCCUUCCAGCCUGGAACACCAUUUAGGCUCAGAGGAGGCACUGGGUGGUGCAGAACUGGAGAGAAACUGCAGCCCUGUAGAAACAGCCUGCAGCCCAUGGAAGGUCUCAGGAGUGGCAAAGGCAGCCCUCGGGAUCCAGCACCCCCGUAUGGAAAUGUCUGCAGCAAAAGACCACAGAACCCAUUGCCGUAGCACCUUCCAAUCUGGCUGGCCACAGGGGUCCCUGGGGCAGCCUGCCUCCAUUCCUGCACCAACAGACAAGGUUGAAAUGGCUCGAGGAAAAACUAGAGAGAUGCUCAAGAGCGUGCACCACACUGACCAUUUCACCAACAGACACGUCAUCCCACUAACUGCCUCGUCUCACUCAUCGCCCUGAAGGAAGCUGGCAGCGGCACUCCCGCAUUUACUUCCAGUAAUGCAUCCAUGUUUCUAAAAAGGACUGCGGUGAAGAACUUGAAGUAUCCUGCAGAUUUUCAACUCAGCAUCCAGUUGUCAGCCUACGCUUGCUCCUACACCCAUGGAAAUCAGCACCUCCGAUUCCUGAGCUUUCCGGAGGUCCAUGGAGCAGGAGUCUCUCUCCAGUCACCUUCCUGGCAUCUCUGCUUUGGUGUUCAACACGCCCAUCUAACUCAGCACCUACUCGGCUGUCUCCUGACCCUCCUCCUGACACGCGACCCUCUAUCUUCCCAGACUCCGACGAUGGCAGCCUCUUCCUUCCAUCUAUUCAGCCCCAAAACCUUCAAGUCAUCACGGAUUCCUCUGAAAUUCUGUUGACUUAGCUCCUGAAGAUAUUCAGAGUCUCACCCCUUGUCAUUUCUGCAGCUGCUGGCCUGUCAAAGCCACCCUUGUCUCUCACCGAGGUGGUUGUAACCAUCUUCAAACUCUCUUCCUGCUUCUGCCCCCAGCCCCUAGCACCUUGCCUUGGUAGGAGACGCAGCUAAAAUGCAAGUCAGCGGAUGCUGUGAUAGUGCAGCAAAUUAAGCUGCUGCCUGGCUUGCCAGCGUCGCACCCUGGAAUGCCAGCUGGAGUCCCGGCUGCUCCACUUCCCAUCCAGCUCCCUGCUGAGGCACCUCGGAAGGCAGUAGAGGAUGGCCCAAGUGCCUGGGCCUCUGCACUCCCGUGGGAGACCUGGAUGGAGCUCCUGGGCUCCUGACUUUGGCCUGGUCCAGACCUGUGAUACUGCAGCUGUUUGAGGAGUGAACCAAUGGAUAGAAGCUCUCACUCGCUCACUCGCUCUCUCUCUCUCUCUCUCUGUCACUCUGCCUUUCAAAUAAAUAAUCUUUUUUAAAAAAAUUGAAAUUCUGAUUUAAAAAUCUCAAAUUAAAAAUUAACAGCAGAUAGAAGAUGACAUAGGAAGUCAUCAGUGAAUCUGAAGCUUGACCAACGUAAAUUAAUCUGAAGAAAAAAUAAGAAAUAAAUAGAACGGCCCUCACGGAGUUGUGAAGAAAUAUCAGAAUGUCUAACUUACUUUUAUGAGAAUCCCCGAAGAAUGGAAGAUGAGACAGAACAAAAUAUUGGCGAAGUCAUAGCUGAAGAAUUCCUAAAUUUGGCAAAAGGUGCAAAUUUCCAGACACAAGUUCAAUAAACCCCAAUCAGGAUAAAUAUGAAGAAGAAAGCCAUGGUUAAGCAAAUGAUUAUCAAAUCCUGAAAACCAAAGAUAAUAAGAAAAACCAAGAGCAGCUGGAGGAAAAUGCCCGUGGACAGGGCACAGGGACUGCUCACCAGACACGAUGCAGGCCUGCCUGACAAUUUUUUUAAGACCAUUUUUUUUUUUUUUUUUUUGAAAAGCAGAGUGACAGAGCGGAGAGAUGGAGAAAGAUCUUCCAUCUGCAGGUUUACUCCCCAAGUGGCCACAAUGACCACGUAGGCCAAAGUCAGCAGCCAGGAUCUCAGGAGCUCAAGCACAUGGGCCAUCCUAUGCUGUUUCCCCGGGCACAUUAGCAGGGAGCUGGAUCAGAACCGGAGCUGCUGGGACUUGAGCCAGCGCUCCCAUAGGGGACAUCAAUGUCUUAAGCAAUGGCUUAACCUCCUGCACCACAACACUGGCCCUCAGAAUAAAUAUUGUAAACCCAGAAUCUGUUUUCAAUGAAACUAUCCUUUAAGAACUGAGGGCAAAUAGAAACAUUUUCAGACCAAAUUAAAAGAUUUCAUUGCCACAAGAGCUAUAAUAGAUACAGGGUGUACAGACUCAGAGGAGAAGCUCUGGACACCAGUGUUCAGGUGAGCUCCCUAUGCGACGGCCAUGUAGCAGGGUGCCGGGCAGGGGGUGCACCCUCAGGAUAAAUAAAUGGACCUUGAAAGAAGAUUCAAACAACGCCAAAACAGGCAAUCACGGAGGAGCAAAGGAGAAGACAGGGCAUACGCAGGAAAGAUGACAAUAAUGUGGCAGAUCUAAAUUCCACCCCAUCAACAACUACAUUGCGGGCAGGUGUCUGGCCUAGCUACGAUGCCUGUGUCCCACAUAGGAGCACUUGGUUCGAUACCUGGCCCCAGCUCUACCCCCAGCUUCCUCUAAUCCCAGCAGUGAUGACUCAAAUGAUUGGGAUGCUGCCACGUGGGAUCGGAUCUCUCCACGUGGGAGAGUGGCACUGAGGUUCUGGCUCCCGUUUUUAGCCUGGGCCAGUCUAGGCUGUUGUGGCUAUUUGGGGCGUGACUCAAUAGAUGGGAGAGCGCUCUCGCUCUCUAACAAUAAAUAUCAGGUUUUUUUUAAAGUUAUAUUAAAUUUUAAUGUGCUAAGCACUCCAAUUAAAAUGUGGGCUGGCAAGCAGCUCCCCCAGUUGCUUGCUUUCUGGGGAAAAGGAACAGACUGUUCCUUCUCUUUGCCUCCUGUGCCUGUGUGAAACAAUUGGAGUGCAUCUGCCCGAAUGCAGGUGCUUCCUCUCCCACACGCCCGACCUUCAACCUAGAAAGUCCUUCCUGCUCCACCCCAUUGUCACCUGCAACGCACAACACAUGGCACACCACACACACACACACACACACACGUCUUCCCAUGAAGGCAGCAUGAGCUGAACCCCAUUGGGUCAUAGCCGUCCCUUCACCUGCACAGGUGAGAAUAGGUAUCUUGUUGGAUGAGCUCCCUGGCAGCUGGGGCUUGAUUUUGUUUGUGGCUCUACCUCUGCACCAGAGGGUAGAGGGGUCACCCGGCUGUCAAGUACACUGAUUGAUAAACCAAAUCAAGUGGCAAGUACGGUAGGCUAUAGCUUACCAACUCCUCUCUGUAACAACUAAUUUGAGUCAGGCAAUGAUCCAGCCUUACUCUGUUAAAUACCAGCCUGGCAGCUUGGCCCAGCACCAUGUCUUUUUCCUGUCUAGCACACACGUAUCUGCUUACACAAAUUAACAUUCCUGCCUUGAUACAUUUUUUUAAAAAUUAUUUAUUUGAAAUGAAUGGGGAGGGUGAGGGAGGAAGGGGGAGAGAGAACUUCCAUCCACCUAUUCACUCCCCAAAUGGCAGCAAUGGUGGAGCUGGGCUGAUGUGAAGCCAGGAGCUUCUUUCAGGUUUCCCACUUGGGCACAGGGGCCCAAGCACUUGGGACAUCUUCCACUGCUUUCCUAGGCCAUCAGCAGGGAGCUGGAUCAGAAGCAGAGCAGCUAGGACUUGAACAGGUGCCAUACGGGAUGCCAGCGUCCAAGGCAGUGGUCUUACUCAUUAUGCCACAAUGCUGGGCCCCCUUGUGGAUAUUUUGAAAAAAAAAAAAAUUAUUUGUUCCUUUAUUGAAAGGCAGAGUGACAGAGAAAGGGAGACAGAGAGAGAGAACAAAAUCCUCCAUCUGCUGGUUCACUCCUCCAAAUGGCCACAACCAGGCAGAUCUGGGCCAGGCUGAAGUCAGAAGCAAGGGACUUCAUCCAGGUCUCCCAUGUGGUUGGCAGGGACGAAGUACUUGAUCCUUCCCAGGUACAUUAGCAGGAAGCUGAGCAGGUUGGAAGCCGAGCAGCUGGGACUCAAACUGGAGUCAUAAGUGGUGACUUAACCUGCUGCUCCACAACCCCAGUUGCUUGUGAUCUCUUUGAAAUGAGAAUUUAGUGUGAUUUAACUCAUUUUGUAGACUUUAAAUUUUCAGAAAUUUUAUUUAUGAGAGACAGAGCUACCAUCUCCUAAUUCACUCUACAGAUUCCCACAAUGGCUGGGGCUGGGCUGAGCUGAAGCUGAGAGCCAGGUGAACUCAGACCAGUCUUCUAUGUAGGUGACAGGGACCCAGGUACUUGAGCUAUCACUGCUGAAUUAGCAGGAAACUGGAGUCAAGAGAUGGGCUUGGGAAUUGAACUCAGUCACUCUCCUGGGAUGUGGGCACCCUAACCAGUGUCUUAACCAGGAGGCUAAACACCCUCCUGCUACAGAUCUUCUUCAAGCAGAAUAUAUCUAUUGAUAAUAUAGAACAUUCCUGUAUCUGUGUGUGAAAACUAUUCUUAAUUGUGAUACAUGCACAGAAGGCCCCUGCUAUUGACCCUGGACACUCUGGCUAGGAUCGCUGGCUGCAUGGGAGGGGCCAGGUGUGUGAACACAGACCCUGGACGGGAGGAACAGCAGGCAAAGCGCGGCUGACGCCCGACCGCUAAGGAGCUGCCGCUUCAUGCCCCGCGGGCUUGAUGAUAAGGUGCCUGCCGUCCACAUGCCAACCCGGCGGGAGCUGGCAGGACAUCCUCGCCGCAAACACAAUCACAGAUACCCGAGGGCUUGCAUUCCACCCAGAGCCCGGCAAUUGCUGUGGUCUGGGCAAGAAACUCCCACUCAAGCACGCUGAGCUCCAGGAGCCUGCCAUCCACGCCGUCAUGUCGCCCAGGGCCCCGGGCCGCUCCGACCGCACGACCGGCAGAAGCGCGUGCAACCCCACCAUGUAAUUUUUGUCUGGGCAGUGAAAUACCUCCGUCCUUACAUCAUUUUCCUUAACUUAGCAAUCCCAUGAAAGAAUGAAGGCCAGCUCGGAUCCCUUCCCAGAGCCAGUGAUUCAAACGUCUUCUUUAAUGUCACGGCCCUGCACAUGCAGCCAUAGAAUCCCACCCCACUGCUCUUUGUAGCCCCAAAACAAGGCGUCGAGGUGUGCAUUAUCCGUCCUGCUUCCUGGUCCAGCCAGAGUCCCUCCUCCGUGACAGAUAAUGGGGAGCCCGGCCAAGGCACAUCUAAGGGACCCAUUCCCGCUUCCCUGCCCCACGGCCCCACACAAAGAGACUGCCGGAAACGCCUGGCGAGUGCCCGGCGGGUAGCCACAGUGUCCCAGAAAGGAAUUCCAAGCCCACAACAGAGCGUUUCUCAUUUGGGGAGGGGCUGGCCACCUGCCAAAGGCGGGUGGCCCAGUGAUGAAAUCCUGCAAGGCCACAGUGCUAAUUCAUGUCGUAGUGGGAAUGGGGACAGGCUUUUGUGCUGACCAGAACGUGCCUGCGCACAAGCUCCCAUUAGAACUGGGGCUGUCAGGAGAAGGCAUAGAAACCCGCCAUAUCCGUACUGUUCCGUGUGUGUGUGCGCGCGCAUGCGCGUGCAUGUACGCAUGCGUAUUCAAAGUAUGCAUAUUCAUGCACGAGUUAUGUAAUUAUAAGUUAUUUUCAACAUCAAAAGACAACGGUGUUUGCUGCUGCCUUGAGCACCCUGGGGUUCCGGGGUGUUCUGUGCUGAUCUCAAACACACAGCCUUCCAUGUUCUCUCAGGGCGGCCAGCACUUGACCACCAGCGUCACCGCCUCCCAGGCCCAAAGCGCGCACGCAGCUACCUCCAAGGACAUCAGAGGGGACAGGUCAGACAGAGCUGGUUCUCCAUCACCUGCAGUGCGGUUGUGGCAUCUGGAGACCACAGGCAGAUGAACAAGGGGCCAGAACCAGAGACAGGAGCUAGGCCCUGUAUGGGUGUGGUGUACAAGUUAAAAAACUUCUGGGGGCAGGCGCCAUGGCUCACUAGGCUAAUCCUCCGCCUGCUGCGCCGGCACCCCGGGUUCUAGUCCCAGUUGGGGCACCGGAUUCUGUCCCGGUUGCUCCUCUUCCAGGCCAGCUCUCUGCUGUGGCCUGGGAGUGCAGUGGAGGA